AAUUCUUAUGUCCAACAGCUAGACCAUCCAGAUUUGUUGAAAACUCGCAGCUCCUUGUUCCCACUUUCUUUUGACUCUGAUGACGAUGUUAGCCCACGUGUGCAGAACGGAGAUGUCAAGCCGCUAAUUGUAAGAGAGCCACGUGGCGCUUUUUUUGUUUCUUAAGUCAACUGGAAACCAAAUUAUACUUUUUUAAUAUUUUAUUGUAAUUGGUUUAUUUUUUCUUUAUAAAAGUAUUGUAAAUCAGAAAGAGCAAAUAAAAUAAAAACAAUAAGCAUAAAA